GUUUAAAAAAGAAAAAGAAAACAUUGAGUAUAUUUUCAGUGACCUCUUUACAGCAACAAAGGAGGCUGCAGAUCGAUUCGUUACACCUUUUUAGCGAGGCUUCUGGUGAAGGGGAGGGGCUCUGAAGCCUCUGGAGACUCCAUUAAUAGCCUCCUCUCCGUCCUAACUAUUAUACACCAUAAAGUGUUUAUAAAGAGCACCCAACUUGAGCUGUAAUAUGUUGUUUCAAACGAGGCAGUGUGAAGGCGGAGAGGGUGGUUAAGAAGAGAGGGAGAGAAAGAGUAGAGGGGAGAUCAGAUUAUUUUCUCUUGAAAUAAGCACUUGGAUGGCAUGAAAUCUAGCGCUGUGCGUAUCACGCAUCGGACUUUUUUUUCCUCCCCUUUCUUAUUCCUUCAGCUUCGUGGAUUCCGCUGUGCAGAAACGGAGUCGAAAACUUUCCCCGAUUCUAAUUCUGCCCUGACACGAACACGCAAAGGAGAAAAGGUACUGCAGAGAAGUCCUGCAUGCAGGAUGUCGGAUUAGAUAUCCCCCCUGAUCAAUGACGCUGCUGCUCUAAGAGAAACGACAACACCUGGAACCACGCAGAUCCUCCUGACUUGGCGCUAAAUUCUCUGUAUUUGUCAGCCAUUUGAAGAAGACGGUCACCGUUCCUGAGUCUGGUUCUGCAUGUUCUUUUCUGACGAAAGAUCAGUUUUUCCAGAAUAAAUUACUUGACUGAAUUUGUCUUCAUCAACUGAUACAGAUCUUUUUUGGCUUUAAAUCAGACUUAUUUGCAAUAAUUUGGAUUGUAAUUUGAUUUCAAUUGAAAUCUGACCACUCUAGAAUAAAUUGGAUUAAACGUAACUUGACUUAAAUUUGGAUGUUGCUCAUGGUCUUCGUAUAAAAUAUAACACUUGUUAAUAUGCAAUAAAUGGCAUAUCCAAUUGUACCAAUAGAAUUUGUAUAACAAUGCAAUAUUGUUAUUACUUUUAAAUCUUGUAAAUGUGUUGCCUUAUUUUCUAAUAAAAUACAUUUGAUCUCUG